UACAGAGGUCUCAAGCGUUGUUCGGAUUCAUUGGGCGUAAAGGGUGCGUAGGUUGCGCGCUAAGUCAGGUGUGAAAUUUCGGAGCUUAACUCCGAAACUGCAUUUGAUACUGGCGUGCUUGAGGACUGGAGAGGAGAAUGGAAUUCCCGGUGUAGCGGUGAAAUGCGCAGAUAUCGGGAAGAACACCCGUGGCGAAGGCGGUUCUCUGGGACGGUACUGACGCUGAGACGCGAAAGCGUGGGGAGCGAACAGG
rnacentral:rRNA from 1 species